GUGAUUGGACCAUAGGUGGACAUCUGACCCUAAGGAAAGCAGUCAUUUGAAGGCAGAAUCAGCUACACUGAAAAGCGAGUCCCUGUCUCAAAAAAACAAAACAAACAAGCAAAUAAUCAGCUACACUGUCUUCCAGGACUUUAGACAAAGAAAGAAAGAGGACUGGCAAGUGUGAGAUGUGAAAGACUCAGGCAGAUUUCAUCACUGAGAAAGGGUCAACAGGUAGAAGCCCCUCCUAUCUGCACUAUGAACAUGCACUGAGAGGUAAACAAUUUUUUACCUCAGAGCCUUGAGAUUUGGGGGUUGUUACAGCAGUGUAACCCAAACUGUUUCAACAAGUGCAAGCACUUAUCACAGCUGUGGUUUUACAUUUGCUAGGAUAAUUCUGGGUCAAUGUCUAUCUCAUCUAUGCUGCCCGUUUCUCAGGGGACAGGCAUUGUACUUGAAUCUGGAACUACAGCAGGGAACAAGGACACAGUAGCACACAUCUACAAUCUCAGCUUCUUGGGAGGCAAAGGCAGGGAGAUCUCAAGUUCAAAGCCAGCCUGAAUUUAGCAAGAUCCUGUCUCAAAAUUAAAAAGAAG
ensembl:lncRNA